UACAGAGGUGGCAAGCGUUGUUCGGAAUUACUGGGCGUAAAGGGCGCGUAGGCGGUCUUCUAAGUCUUGUGUGAAAUCCCUCGGCUCAACUGAGGAACUGCACGGGAUACUGGAAGACUUGAGUUCGGGAGAGGGAAGCGGAAUUCCGGGUGUAGCGGUGAAAUGCGUAGAUAUCUGGAGGAACACCGGUGGCGAAGGCGGCAUCCUGGACCGACGACUGACGCUGACGGAGCGAAAGCGUGGGGAGCGAACGAGGA
rnacentral:rRNA from 1 species